GUGGGGAAUAUUGGACAAUGGGCGCAAGCCUGAUCCAGCCAUGCCGCGUGCAGGAUGAAGGCCUUCGGGUUGUAAACUGCUUUUGUACGGAACGAAAAGACUCUGGUUAAUACCUGGGGUCCAUGACGGUACCGUAAGAAUAAGCACCGGCUAACUACGUGCCAGCAGCCGCGGUAAUACGUAGGGUGCGAGCGUUAAUCGGAAUUACUGGGCGUAAAGCGUGCGCAGGCGGUUAUAUAAGACAGAUGUGAAAUCCCCGGGCUCAACCUGGGAACUGCAUUUGUGACUGUAUAGCUAGAGUACGGCAGAGGGGGAUGGAAUUCCGCGUGUAGCAGUGAAAUGCGUAGAUAUGCGGAGGAACACCGAUGGCGAAGGCAAUCCCCUGGGCCUGUACUGACGCUCAUGCACGAAAGCGUGGGGAGCAAACAGGAUUAGAAACCCCGGUAGUCC
rnacentral:rRNA from 1 species